UACGUAGGGGGCAAGCGUUGUCCGGAUUUAUUGGGCGUAAAGAGCGUGUAGGCGGCUUUACAGGUCCGUUGUGAAAACUCGAGGCUCAACCUCGAGACGCCGGUGGAAACCGUAAAGCUAGAGUCCGGAAGAGGAGAGUGGAAUUCCCGGUGUAGCGGUGAAAUGCGCAGAUAUCGGGAAGAACACCCGUGGCGAAGGCGGCUCUCUGGGACGGUACUGACGCUGAGGCACGAAGGCCAGGGGAGCAAACGGG
rnacentral:rRNA from 1 species